rnacentral:rRNA from 1 species
GCAAACACUUUUUAGAAGAAAGUAAAAAAGACGACGAACCGUUAGGUGGUAAAAGAAAAUAGCUACAUUUUUUGCCUCUUUUCUUCCUCCUCCCGGGAGCAGCAGUGGAGCAGGCGGCCCCCGAUUGGGGCAACUGUUGGGUUUCUUUUACAAGUACCAGAGGGAAAGUUGAAAAAGACUUUGAAAAGAGAGUCAAAGACAGCUUGAAAUUGCCUGUAGGGACGCGGAUGGGGUCCCCCGACCUGCCGGGGGUGUAUUUGGUUCGGCUCCUGCAAGUGGCAUGGCUUACGGGCCCGAUGAUGGCCGACCUGUGGGUCGGCGGCGGUAGCCUCGGGCGCCUCAUGUGCCUCCAGUUGCAUUCUGGUCGAGCUCCCAACAUGCCCAUUCUCGGUGUAAGAGCUGGUCAUCUCUCCGACCCGUCUUGAAACACGGACCAAGGAGUUUAUCGUGUGCGCGAGUCAUUGGGCGUUGAAAACCCAAAGGCGCAAUGAAAGUGAAGUGCCACGCAAGUGGCUGAUGUGCGAUGUUGUGUUCCAUGGCUCACGACCGCAGCAUGGCCCCAUCCUGGCUGCUUGCAGCGGGGUGGAGGAAGAGCGUGCGCGAUGAGACCCGAAAGAUGGUGAACUAUUCCUGAGCAGGAUGAAGCCAGAGGAAACUCUGGUGGAAGUCCGAAGCGAUUCUGACGUGCAAAUCGAUCGUC